AUUGAACGCUGGCGGCAUGCCUUACACAUGCAAGUCGAACGGUAACGCGGGGCAACCUGGCGACGAGUGGCGAACGGGUGAGUAAUGUAUCGGAACGUGCCCAGUUGUGGGGGAUAACUACUCGAAAGAGUAGCUAAUACCGCACACGACCUGAGGGUGAAAGCGGGGGAUCGCACGACCUCGCGCAAUUAGAGCGGCCGAUAUCAGAUUAGGUAGUGGGUGGGGUAAAGGCCUACCAAGCCAACGAUCUGUAGCGGGUCUGAGAGGACGACCAGCCACACUGGGACUGAGACACGGCCCAGACUCCUACGGGAGGCAGCAGUGGGGAAUUUUGGACAAUGGGCGCAAGCCUGAUCCAGCCAUGCCGCGUGCGGGAAGAAGGCCUUCGGGUUGUAAACCGCUUUUGUCAGGGAAGAAAUCUUCUGGGUUAAUACCUCGGGAGGAUGACGGUACCUGAAGAAUAAGCACCGGCUAACUACGUGCCAGCCGCCGCCGUAA
rnacentral:rRNA from 1 species